UAAAGCAUAGCGUUAAUCAACCAGAUCCCAUUAGAACUUCGCAGUUAAGCGCACUCAAUCUAGAGUAGUAUUGGGAUGGGUGAUCCCAAGAAGUCUUGGUGUUUUAC
rnacentral:rRNA from 1 species